rnacentral:rRNA from 1 species
UACAGAGGGGGCAAGCGUUGUUCGGAAUUACUGGGCGUAAAGGGCGCGUAGGCGGCCUGUUAAGUCGAACGUGAAAUCCCCGGGCUCAACCCGGGAACUGCGUCCGAUACUGGCAGGCUUGAAUUCGGGAGAGGGAUGUGGAAUUCCAGGUGUAGCGGUGAAAUGCGUAGAUAUCUGGAGGAACACCGGUGGCGAAGGCGGCAUCCUGGACCGAUAUUGACGCUGAGGAGCGAAAGCUAGGGGAGCAAACGGG